GCGGAGGUGGUCGAGCCUGGACUAAGGCGCCGGACUUGAAAUCCGGUGGGGCUCUGCCCCGCAAGGGUUCAAAUCCCUUCCUCCGCGCCA
rnacentral:tRNA from 2 species